AUUGAUAUAAGUGACUGACUUUCUGGCUUUUCACAUGCACUUGGGAAAGGCCUGAACUGCCCAAGCCCAUUGUCCACAUUAUGCUCCCAUUUGUAUUCAAUAUAUAGGGAAAGGGAAGACUCACUCCAGUGUUUUUGAGGAUCUGAUGGCAAUGCACUGUAGCUCACUUCUGCAGAAACAUGUGGCACUGUCCAAAGCAGAAGAGAAAUAGGAGAAGCAGUCAGUGCAGAAGCAAAGAAUCAUAGAAGAUCCUGAGUUGGCAGGAAUCCACAAAAAUCAUAGAAGUCCAGUUCCUGGCUCUGAACAGGGCAGCCCCAAGGGUCACACCAUGUGCCUGAGAGUGUUGCCAAACACUUCUUGAACUCUGUCAGGUCCUGUCACUGGUCACCAGAGAGGAGAUCAGUGCCUGCCCCUCCUCUUGCCCUCAUGGGGAUGUUGAAGACCACAGUGAGGUCUCCCCUCUGUCUCCUCCAGGCUGAACAAGCCGAGUGACCUCAGUUGCUCCUGGUAUGGCUUCCCCUCAAGGCCCCUUCACCAUCUUUGUUGCCCUCCUUUGGAUGAUCUCUAACAGCUUCAUGGUUGCUUUAUAUUGUGGCAUCCAAAACUGCCACAGCACUCGAGGGCUAAAUAUUCAGAUAAAGCUCUUCAUUAUGUAACUUCUACUAGUAUUUCAAUUGUUUUGAUGGAGAGGAAUUUGCAAAUACACCCUUAACUUUGUGAAAAUCUUCAAGGAGAACUACCACCAUGAAUAAAGAUGUAAUUGUGGAGACUCUCAUAGAAUAAGACUAGGAAUUUCUGAAAAACCUACAGAUUAACCAUGACGGGAAAAGAUUCUACAGUAGGGUAACAUUUCCCAAAGUUAUGGGAACAUCAACCAGCCCAAAGACAGCUAAAGAUUAUGAAGAAAAUGAAACAACAUCAUUAUUAGUGGCUAUGAGCAGCUUGCAAAAUGAAGACUGGAGGCAGACGCAAAGGUGCAAGUGUGGCUGAGGUAUUAUGCUGAAAAGGAAAAACAGAGUUUGAUCCAGUGAGUAAAUUGACUGGAGUAAAUGGAGAAGCAAAAGUGAAGCAGCUUAAAAAAAAUAAUAAGAGUACCACAAGAAAAAAAAAAAACAAACCCAUGAAAAUGAAUGGUAUUCUUUUUGACUUUGGCUUAAGAUGGAAGCUCUUCUCAAU